AUGCACAACACUUCAAUCCUCAAUCAUCAUCCAUUUCUAGACCUCUGCAUAUUCAACCUACUUCAUCAUUUUCGGCAUCCUUCACACAACAUCUUCACUGAUUCUACAACCUUCAUCAUAAUUGCACCGAAACCAUUAUUUCAUCAUCAUCUUCGUGUCAAUGAUCAACGCAUCGGUAUCAUCCAUGGUUUUCUUCAAACGUUAGCAUCAUCUUGCUGCAAUAAGCUUUAA